GAUGAAGAACGUAGCGAAAUGCGAUACGUAAUGUGAAUUGCAGAAUUCAGUGAAUCAUCGAAUCUUUGAACGCAUAUUGCGCUCUCUGGUAUUCCGGAGAGCAUGCUUGUUUGAGUAUCAGUAAACACCUCAACUCCCUUUUCUUUUUUGAAAUUGGAGCUGGACUUGAGUGAUCCCAACGCUUUCUUCCAAGAAAGUGGCGGGUUGCUUGAAAUGCAGGUGCAGCUGAACUUUUCUCUGAGCUAUAAGCAUAUCUAUUUAGUCUGCCUAAAAAACAGAUUAUUACCUUUGCUGCAGCUAACAUAAAGGAGACUAGUUCUUGUGCUGACUGAUGCAGGAUUCACAGAGACAGCUUCGGCUGACUUUGUAAACUCGAUCUCAAAUCAAGUAAGACUACCCGCUGAACUUAAGCAUAUUCAAUAAGCGGAGGA
rnacentral:misc_RNA from 1 species